UUGCAUUGCCCGCAUUGCCAUCGGCGCCUGGUCUGAUUUCACACAGGUGUCAAUGUCAAAGCGUACAAUGUGA
rnacentral:pre_miRNA from 1 species